UUUACUCCUUUGAUACCGCCUGUGUAUGCAUCUUUGCUUUUUUUUUUUUUUGAAACAAUUGAGACUUAUUUACUGGCCUGGCAUGGUUAUUGUGUUGAUCAUAGUUUGUCGGACUUUGUAUUUUUUAUUUUUUGAACCGCCAAACCAAAUUCUCUGAAAGUUGAAACCAAGUGUGCCAACAUUCCAUGGCAAUAAACAUAGCAUAUUUGUUUGUGUUGCAUUUCAGUUAAGUGCGUCAGCAUUAUCAUCUUCAUGGGUUUAAUUAAAUCAAAAAAAUAAUGAUCCCUUUUUCCUUUGAUCAGAGUGUCGGAACUAAACCUUUGACAUACGAAAUAUAUCCACGCCCAUACAUGAACUCUUAAUGCCAUAUAUGCUUCCUUGGUUAUGCAUAUUAGUAUAUUGUUGUUACUUGACUACAAAUUGCUCAAUUAAGUAUCACUUGUAUGCCGUUUGUCGCAUGAACUUCAAAUAGCUAGAGCUUUCCAUUAGUUCGACAUAUUAACUUAAAUUUGGCAUUACGUACUUUGUAUAUUUUUUAAUUGAGGUGGGAAAUGGUGUAUCCUUGAUACGUUUGACUUUUGUGUGUGCAGGUCUUCAAUUUUGACAGACCUAUUGUUUCGUCGCCUCGUACUCGAGAUACAGUCAGGGAUAUAGACUAAGUAAGCUUAGUGGAGGCUCAAAUGGAAAGAAGGAGGAUUUAUCGUGAUGGGUCAUCGUGUUUGCACAGUGAACCCGUCAGGGGUGUCAGGUCAUCGUGUUUGCACAGUAAACCUGUCAUCCUCAGAUGAUCCGUUUGAAGACCUGGAUGCUUUUUGAAGGAGGAUUUAUCGUGAUGGGUCAUCGUGUUUGCACAGUGAACCCAUCAGGGGUGUCACGUCAUCGUGUUUGCACAGUGAACCUGUCAUCCCAGAUGAUUCGUUUGAAGACCUGGAGACUUUUUGAAGAAGGAUUUAUCGUGUUUGCACAAUGAACCCAUCAGAGAUGUCAGACCAUCGUGUUUCCACAGUGAGCCUGACAUCUUCAGAUGAUCCUUGGUCUCUAAAGGGGAGUUGCAUUGCAUGUCUUGACGAAUUCGGACUCGGAGCUCAGGACGAACGAAUCAAGGAAAAAGGCUUAGCAAAUUGCGGAAUUGAGGUACUGCUGGGGACCACGGAAACGAGUAGUGGCGAGGAUUUCACUAUUACAUUGUUCACCUAAGUUAAUGUUAAGUUGUAACAAGUUUAAGUAAAGAUUCUUGAUUAAGUUACGUACUUUUAUUAAGGAUUUAAAAAGGAUUAUUAUGUU